rnacentral:rRNA from 1 species
AUUCAUCUCCGGGGGUAGAGCACUGUUUCGGCAAGGGGGUCAUCCCGACUUACCAACCCGAUGCAAACUACGAAUACCGGAGAAUGUUAUCACGGGAGACACACGGCGGGUGCUAACGUCCGUCGUGAAGAGGGAAACAACCCAGACCGCCAGCUAAGGUCCCAAAGUCAUGGUUAAGUGGGAAACGAUGUGGGAAGGCCCAGACAGCCAGGAUGUUGGCUUAGAAGCAGCCAUCAUUUAAAGAAAGCGUAAUAGCUCACUGGUCGAGUCGGCCUGCGCGGAAGAUGUAACGGGGCUAAACCAUGCACCGAAGCUGCGGCAGCGACGCUGAUGCGUUGUUGGGUAGGGGAGCGUUCUGUAAGCCUGUGAAGGUGUACUGUGAGGUAUGCUGGAGGUAUCAGAA